rnacentral:lncRNA from 1 species
GGAUCGAUACAGGGAAAGGGAGGAGGAGCUGGGUCUCACAGUGGUGGCAACGGCGAGAGCAGGUGGUUCCGGGAGGUUCGAACGACGGUGGAUCGAAGCCGUGGCCGAGGCGAACGCUGACGGAGGGGAUCGGCGCGGUCCGGCGAUGCAUCGAGGAUGGGCUCGAUCUGGCCCUUGUAGACGAAGCAGAGGAAGCGGGCGGAGCUCCUGGCGAAGUCUUGGCCGACGGGGAGGUCGGUGGCCACUGCGAUGCAGCAGCUAGUGGCGACGGUGCUUCGGGCGCACGCGGGGAGAAGAGAGCGACGCGAGGUGGAGAUGAAGUGGGCGGCUAGGGUUCACAGGGGGACGAGGGCGACCUUAUCUGCAUCAGGGGGCCACGGGAUGGAUGUCGCGUGGUCAUCCGCGGCCAUGGACGUGGCGCACGCCUCCACGGCGCUCCUGAUGAGCAGUAGGAAGGAGGAGGUGGCGAGGUGGGCUGGGCUCCCACGGUUGACCUAGAGCCAAGUCCACCAGUAGUUUAGCUCUUUUUUCUUAAUUUUCUUUCUGCUUCUUUGAUUUCUUCUCGGACUUGUAAAUUGCUAGGCCACCCAUUCACUUUGUAAAAUAUGAGACUUGGCUUAAUAAAUUACAUGUAAUAUUUAGCACUGUUAUAAAACGGUUCGAGGAAUAUUAGAAUUCGUUUGAUUUUUGCAUAAAAGGAAAUGGAUUAAAAAGGGUGUUCUGGACACUGUAAAUAGGUUAGGGGUAAUUUAAUAUUUCAAAUAAUGUUGGUUCCUUCAGGAAAAUUAAUUAGUGAAACUUUGUAACCCAGCGAACAUUUUUGUGUUGCCGUUUGAAGGAAUAAGAAUUUGACUUGUUUUGGAAGUUGAAUUUGAUUCGUGUUUGAAACAAAGUAAGAUUAGCAACAGUAAUUGCGAUGACUCGGCACCAUUAACAUGGGAUUACUGUAGCUUAAUUAUCCGGGCGUCACAAUUCUCCUCCACUACAAGAAAUCUCGUCCCGAGAUUUAAGGGGUGGAGUAAGGGGGAAUGACUCAGGAAGGACGGAUCUCAACACAAGAUAGGUACGUGGGGACUACGUGAGUGAACGUGGCAUAGAGGCAUCUCUCGAGUUGAAAUUCAAGAAAGUCAUCGAGAGCAAGGUGAGGUGCAAUAAGAAGCUUCAACCUGGUAGACGAUCGUUUGUUGCUUGAAACAAGGGGUGAAAGGGGUUCAGAGUAGUGGUAAUAAGUAUUGCGUCUGAUACCAUAAUAGAUCGCCUCUCGGAAGGCGGCUCAGGAUUUUCAUAUGAAGCCAAGCGUGAGAAAUAACCUUAGAAACAAGGGUGUACAGGAGAGUUAGGUUUCGAUCCUGUGGAACUAUGGGUUAUGAGCUCACCAUGUGGGUUAAAGGUAGGAAAGGCGUUGACAUCUUGCACAGAUGAUAGCAAGGCAUGUCAGAUGACAACCUGUCAGUUAUGUUGGCAACGACGUCGGUACCAAGGGCGAGGGACAAAGAGAACCAUUUUCCUGCUCGUUAGGACGAGGCGGACCAAUAGGCAAAGUUCUCGUCCAUCGGUGGUUACCGGAAUGUCAUCAACAAUAGUAACAGGGUCUUACUGACAGAGUUGUACAUCGAGGUGCUUACCUAAGCAGGGAUUUAUCUCUGCUCAGACAAGUUAGAUUACAAGAAAGGUAAAACAAAACAAUGGAAAGGAAAAUGUGAUUAUUAUGAUAAUCAGACCAAUGGAAAGGAAAGAUGUUUAUACCCAAGUAUUAGAGUAUAACUUUCCCAAGGAAAGGCAGAGCAUGAUUGGACUCCAAGUAUUAAACCGUUUAGAUAAAGGGGCAAGGAACUUAUGAGGUUUACCUAUACAACGGUGUUUGGAUAAUUGAUCAAGAACAGUUAGCAUUGCACUCCCAAUGUUUUUGUUGAUGUUUGGAGUAACACAGUCAUGCUUCGAGGUAACAGUAACAUGGUGUUUCAAGCAAGAUUGAAUCUGAAGGUCACAAGAAGUACAAAGGAACAAUUCCAAGAAUGUCAAGGAAUGUAAGAUAUAACCAAAACAUGACCAAGUCUGUAUUGGUAGGAAGUCAAGGAUGGUGUCGAUGACAACACAAAUCAUCGACGGGCAAGGAUGGUAUUUCUCCUCAAGAAUUCAAUUGAUAUCUUAGAAUAAGGCAGUAUAUUGAUGGUGAUUCACGACAAAUUUUGUCGAGAGGCUCUAAGAAGAUGCCAUCGAGCAGCAACGACAUCAAGCAAAAGGAAUGAUGAAGCGAAGGCUAUUGGAACCACGGAUACGACAUAAGCUCGGAUUCAAGCUUGUUGUUCAAGGUGGAAUGAUAAGAUGAGGAAGAUCGACGUAAGCUUCACUCAUCGUAAGCUUCACUCAUCGUCGAAAAGUUGUGCUUCGGGAAGGACCAGGUAGCACAGUUAAAAAGUUGCACGAUAAUGAUAUAGCCGAUCAGGCUAGGAAUGACUUGAAGGAUUAACAAACUCAUAAGCAAUGAAGAUUAUUUAGAGUUAUUGAAUCGGAGUGCGGAAGUGAUUUACUUAUCAGUGUUCUCGGUUGACGACAACUCAGAACCCAGGAAAAUUGAAAUCGGUGAGAAAUAACAGUUGAUGAAGAACCCAUAAGAAGUUAUGUAGUUCAGUGAUAUUCUUGAGAUACCAGAGUGUAACACUCGAUGGUAGAUCAAAGUAAAGGUUGGAUAGGUGCAAUGAUCUGCAGAAUACAAGUACUUCAACUUGUCCAAGAAAUGGGACCAAAGAAGAACAAUCAUGGUGAGAACCACGGUUGCAAAGGACCAAUAUAGAUACAAGAUGAACUUAUCACAAGGGGAUCAUUAUUAUCAUAACAAGAAGCUUCCAUGAUAAGUUCCACAUCGGGUCCAUGGGCGUGAACACAAAGGUUCAAGGUCGACUCCCACUUCAUCAAUGCACAACCUUCCAUUCACUUCUCGCAUUCGAAGUUGUAGCGUUGAUAUGUUAUCCGAAGAAACGCUAGUAGAUAUAACCUGCAUAACCUUCCGGUUCACACGGAUUAGGCAAGGCGUAGAUUCAACCCACUGGGGCAUCUUAUGAACAUAGACCACAAACUUCACGAGUAAAUAACUCAAGCUCGAAAGUAGAGCAUGAUUGAGGAAGCAGAGGAUACAAUUUACCAAAGGCAUUAUGUAUCCGAGGAAAAGCUCACAAUGUUACUAAAUAAGAAGGACGCUGUCGGAUAAAACCCAACAAAGGAUCUGGUGGUCCACAAGGGAUCUGAUGUGAGCAUCGAUACUCACCCAGAAGAAGAAAGAAUGCAAGGAUAUCAGAUUAUAGAAACAACUGACUAAUUCAAAGCUCAAAUGCAAAGGAAAUAUGAUUUCCAAAAUGGUGGAUCAGAAGCAGAGGCCCUGAUCAAAGACAGGUUAGUUGAAUAGACAUAGAUCGACAAUCAAUCAAGGUUUGAUUUGUCGAACACCAGCUCAUGUCAGGGGUGACGUCUGAGCCGAAGGGAAGAAUUCUAACUUUGAUUGAUGAUUGCAAGCAUUCACAAACAUAUCGAAUCAAAUGCUCAAAAUGAAAUAUGACAAAUGAUACUACUGAAUAUUGCCAGACAUAUGGAAAGCAUCCACAAUGCAAGCAUACAAGGAGGAGCAAGAGUAGUAGGUUUCUAAGGAUUUUCGGAAGAUCGGAUAAUAUUCCAAAGAAUUUUGUGAAACAGUGAACAACUGUGGACGAACAGAUACUCGGCAAGCGCGAGUAAUUAUCCGCAGGGGUAUUCAUGUGGCAAAGAACUGCAAGGCAGUAGGCUCAAUGGAUUCUUAGGACAACAGAGAGUAAUUCAAGGCAUCUUGUAAUAACAAGAGCAACUGGGGAUGAAGGUAUGAACGACAACGUAGGUAGUUACUCAUAAGGAUUUAUCGGUGGUAUGGAAUUGCAACGGCAAAGGGCACAAGGGUUUCGGGGAAACAUCGGGAGUAUCUUCGAAAUCUUCUAAAGCAGCAAGCGAUCAUCUGGCCUGAAGGGGCUCUCCGGGAGAAAGUGGGUACGAGAUCCUAAUGUCUGACUUAGUAAAAUGUUUAACCCGAAUAGACAAGAGAUCAGAGUCCCAGAGUAUAGACGAGGAAUAAAAUAUCCUAAUACCACCCAAUGGCGACGUGGGCCCGUAAGCCACACAACCAAUGUUAGUAAAAGUUUUUCAGUGACUAGACUCAACUUCAGCCAAGGAGUCGGAAAGGGGGCUACCUACAGGCAGUCGGCUCUGAUACCAACUUGUGACGCCCUCGAUUCAAUUGUACACUAAUCAUGCACGCAAAUGUAUAUGAUCAAGAUCAAGGACUCACGGGAAGAUAUCACAACACAACUCUAGACACAAAUUAAAAUAAUACAAGCUUUAUAUUACAAGCUAGGGGCCUCGAGGGCUCGAAUACAUAAGCUCGAAAACACAAGAGUCAGCGGAAGCAACAAUAUCUGAGUACAGACAUGAGUUAGACAAGUUUGCCUUAAGAAGGCUAGCACAAAAGCAUCUACGAACGAAAAGGCAAGGCCUCUUGCCUGGGAGCCUCCUAACUACUCCUGGUCAUCGUCGGUCUCCACGUAGUAGUAGGCAUCGGCGGUGGCAUCUGGCUCCUGGGCUCCGACAUCUGGUUGCAUCAACCGGAAAGAAGAAGAAAGAGGGAAAAGGGGGAGCAAAGCAACCAUGAGUACUCAUCCAAAGUACUCGCAAGCAAGGAUCUACACUACAUAUGCAACAUUAUCAAAGGAAGGCUGUAAAUGUGGACUGGGCUGCAGAAAUGCCAGAAAAGAGAGAAGGCCUAGUCCUAUCAAAAACUAGCAUCUUUUGGAAACCACCAUCUCGCAGCAACAGGAGGGAGUAGAGUAGCAUAAAGUAAAGUAGUAGUAGUGUUAUCAACCUCGGCCGGAGAUCCUUUCUCGACUCCCUGCGAGAAAGAAAUCCCAGAGCCAUACUAUCCAGUUAUCAUCACAAUCCAAUUCUCAUCACCAUCCAGUUCUAGUUGUAUCGAUCGGGAUACAACUCCAAGUGUUCGUUACCGUAGGACAGGCUAUCGAUAGAUGUUUUCUUCCUUGCAGGGGUGCACCAACUUACCCACCACGCUCGAUUAACUCCGGCCGGACACACUUUCCUGGGUCAUGCCUGGCCUCGGCCAAACAAUACGCCGCAACCCGACCUAGGCUUAAUAGAGAAGCCAGCACGCCGGACUAAACCUAUGCCCCCAGGGGUCAUGGGCCAUCUCCCCGGGAACUCCUGCACGUUGCGUGGGCGGCCGGUGAGCAGACCUAGCUACCUCCCUAAAAAGGCAGGAGCUUACCAGUCCAACCCGGCGUGCGCCGCUCAGUCGCUGACGUCUAUUAAGCUUCGGCUGAUGUAUACGACGCAGAACACCCAUACUAUGCCCACGUGAUGGUUAGUGCUAUCAGGCCAGAGGCCCCUCGGAUCAAAUAUCCAAAUCGUAGUGUAUUAGGAACGCGCGGUAACAAGCAGAGAUUCACGAAAGAUGUGACCCCGUUGCCCCGUCUCGAGGACUUGCGGCAAGGGCUAGGAAUGUCCGGCCACGCCUCGUAAUUAUCUCGCGGGCACCCUCCAGGUCAACCCGUCUCCACAUCACUCGCAAUUAAGCUCGCGCGGGUACCCCUCAGGGUCGACCCGUCUUUAGUAACAUGGUUCAGUGUAAAGACAUAGUAACCAUAGUAACUGUGUAUCCAAACAUCAAGGGGAAAACCCGAGGAAUCACCCCGGUGAAUUCCACUCGAUGUAAUCAUCAAGGUGAACGUAAGAGGAACCACCCCGAGGUUCACACUUGAGGGGUUGCACGACAGAGCCGUAUCGAAAGUGGUUAUGGAGGAAAUCACCCUCGAUGACCAUGAAUGAAUAGCUACACUACAGAGAUCUCAUCAGGAGUGAUGUAUGAAGGUCCACCCUCGACACUCGAUGGUAACCCUGCAGAGUCGAGCAACAAAAGGGGCGUGAUGUGAUGUGAGGUAUCGGGCUCUGGUCUUCGAUCCCGUUGAACGGGUCUUCGAUGAUGAAGCAGGGGCAACAAGGACAAGAUGGGGUCACUGAUGGAUCACUAACUAACCUAUACUAAGUAGUUUAGGAUAAGCAGGUAGAUAACAAUGAGCAGGUUACAAAAGCAGGCUAUGCAUCAGAAUAGGAGCAAACAAUAACAAUAGCAAAAUCUAAUGCAAGCAUGAGAGAAUGAAAUGGGCGAUAUCGGGAUGAUCAAAAGGGGGGCUUGCCUGGUUGCUCAGACAAGAACGAGGGGUCGUCGGUGACGUAGUCAAUCACAACGGCAUCGACAGCCGCCACGUGGUCUACCGAAAAGAAGAGGGGGGAGAAACAGUAAAUACAUAGCAAGCAAGUGCAUAACAGGAUAGAAGGCAUAGCUAGACGUGUUCUAACGCGGUCCUAGACGUUAUAGGUGAAGGGGGAAUUCAACUGGGAAGGUGUUCCCGGUUCCGGGCCUGUGUCAGACAGAUGACCGCAGGGGGAAAGUUCCAUGUUCAGCAUACUAGGGGCAUGUGACUGGUGAAUGGAUAGCGUAUUCGGAUUCGUUGGAUUUUUCUGAGCAACUCUCAUGUAGAAAACAUUUUCAUCCGAGCUAUGGAUUAUUUUAUAUGAUUUUUCAAAGAUUUAGACAAUUUCUGGAAUUUCAGGAUUUACUAAUAAAUCAAAAAGUAAAAUACCUAAAAUGCUACGGGUACACAAGGAAGUGUACCCAACAGUGUGUAAGAGGCUGACAGGUGGGGUCUAGUUGACUGCCUAGUCAGCAGUCAACUGAGACUGUUGACUAGUCAAAGGGCCCGGGGGACCCGCAUGUCAUUGACUGGGUUAUCCCAGUCAGCAGUUUAACUGGUCAAUGGGACCAGGGGGACCCAAGUGUCAUCCACACAUAUUUUAGCAUUUUUUCAGAGGAUAUUUAGAGGAAGGGGGGUCCACCUGCCAUAGGCUAGUAGCUAAUCUAACUAGUAAUUAUCCCCUGAAGUAAUUUGCAUAGGGUCGGCCAGAGGCGCAAGCAGCACCACGGAUGUGCACAUACACGCACAACCCAUGUGUGUUCAGCCAUGGCCACGGCCACAUGCGAGGCUAGCGCUGGAGCAACCAACAGUGGCAGCAAGAAGAGCAGCAGUAGCAAAAUGAGUAGCAACAGCAAAAGAGUAGCAGCGGCAUAUCAGCAACAUCAAAACGGCAGUGGUGUCUGCUAGUAGAUCAGCAGCCGGCAAGCGUCAGCGGCAUGCGAGAAGCAGCAGCAUAGCAGCCUCAUCAAUAUUCAGUAGUAAGCAGCAGCAACCAUCAUGGCAGCUAGCGGGACAGGGGCGCCGCCCGGGCGAACGUCCGCGCGCGAGGAGCAGCAGUACAAGCAGCAGCAGAGCAGCGGCAGGGACGCGGACGACUAUGGCGGCGCGCCUGGGCGCGGCCAGGGAGCGGCGGGCGCGAGCCAGCAAGGCCUAACGCGGCCAGAGGCGCGCGAGCGCGGACUGUGGCGCAGCGAGCACGAGCUCCGACGGCGUCGGGCACGGCGGUGACGGCGGCCUACGAUGGUACGCGGACAAACGACGAGGUUGCUCUAGAGGACCGGAUCGAUACAGGGAAAGGGAGGAGGAGCUGGGUCUCACAGUGGUGGCAACGGCGAGAGCAGGUGGUUCCGGGAGGUUCGAACGACGGUGGAUCGAAGCCGUGGCCGAGGCGAACGCUGACGGAGGGGAUCGGCGCGGUCCGGCGAUGCAUCGAGGAUGGGCUCGAUCUGGCCCUUGUAGACGAAGCAGAGGAAGCGGGCGGAGCUCCUGGCGAAGUCUUGGCCGACGGGGAGGUCGGUGGCCACGGCGAUGCAGCAGCUAGUGGCGACGGUGCUUCGGGCGCACGCGAGGAGAAGAGAGCGACGCGAGGUGGAGAUGAAGUGGGCGGCUAGGGUUCACAGGGGGACGAGGGCGACCUUAUCUGCAUCAGGGGGCCACGGGAUGGAUGCCGCGUGGUCAUCCGCGUCCAUGGACGGGGCGCACGCCUCCACGGCGCUCCUGAUGAGCAGUAGGAAGG